rnacentral:rRNA from 1 species
CCUACGGGGGGCAGCAGUGGGGAAUAUUGCACAAUGGGGGAAACCCUGAUGCAGCGACGCCGCGUGAGUGAAGAAGUAAUUCGUUAUGUAAAGCUCUAUCAGCAGGGAAGAAAAUGACGGUACCUGGGGAGGAAGCUCCGGCUAACUACGUGACAGCAGCCGCGGUAAUACGUAGGGAGCGAGCGUUGUCCGGAUUUACUGGGGGUAAGGGGAGCGUAGGCGGGGAUGCAAGUUGGGUGUCAAAACUACCGGCUCAACUGGUAGUCGCACUCAAAACUGCAGCUCUUGAGUGAAGUAGUGGCAGGCGGAAUUCCUAGUGUAGCGGUGAAAUGCGUAGAUAUUAGGAGGAACACCAGUGGCGAAGGCGGCCUGCUGGGCUUUUACUGACGCUGAGGCUCGAAAGUGUGGGGAGCAAACAGGAUUAGAUACCCGUGUAGUC